UACGGGGGGGGCAAGCGUUGUUCGGAAUUACUGGGCGUAAAGAGCGCGUAGGCGGUCCGAUAAGUCGGCUGUGAAAGUCCAGGGCUCAACCCUGGAAAGCCGGCCGAUACUGUCGGACUAGAGUCCGGAAGAGGCAAGUGGAAUUCCCGGUGUAGCGGUGAAAUGCGCAGAUAUCGGGAGGAACACCAAUUGCGAAGGCAGCUUGCUGGGACGGUACUGACGCUGAGACGCGAAAGCGUGGGGAGCGAACAGG
rnacentral:rRNA from 1 species